GCCGGGGUGGCCGAGCCAGGUCCAAGGCGCGGGCCUGGAGAUAAAGUCCGUCCCCGCAAGGGGGCCCGGGUUCAAAUCCCGGCCCCGGCACCA
rnacentral:tRNA from 1 species